ACUGAUGUAAAGGCACUUGUCCUUCCCCAC
rnacentral:piRNA from 1 species